rnacentral:rRNA from 1 species
GACAGAGGUGCCGAGCGUUAGGCGGAAUCACUGGGCUUAAAGCGCACGUAGGCGGAUUGGUCAGUUAGGGGUGAAAUCCUGGAGCUCAACUCCAGAACUGCCUUUAAUACUGCCAGUCUCGAGUCCGGAAGAGGUAAGUGGAACUCCUAGUGUAGAGGUGGAAUUCGUAGAUAUUAGGAAGAACACCAGUGGCGAAGGCGGCUUACUGGUCCGGUACUGACGCUGAGGUGCGAAAGCGUGGGGAGCAAACAGG